CACGGUUUUUACUUUUGUCUUGAUCUGUCAGAAACAGAAGGCUCUAACGAGUUCAGCGAUAGCGAUGUGGAUGUGAAUAGAAGGCGUCCGCGACGGAGUCAGAACUCUCAGGUCAACUACUGUGAGACGUCAGAGUCUGACGGGUCACGAAAGGCGUCCGAUCAGAAGCACUCCUCUCUUCCUCACCGUCGACGGCUGUCCAGCUCCAACAGUGAAGAGUCCAUACUUUCUAAAGACUUUGAGCCAAAGGAAUCGCAUCAGAGAUCAGAAAAAGGACGCAAGUGCGAUUCAACAAGGGAAGAUUCCAAACACAGGCACAAACGAGAAAAACAGAGACAGCAGAGAAGCUCCAGUGAAGACGAGGAGGAAGAGGAAGAUGGAGGAGAAACGGAAGACGAACGGCCCCUCCGCAAGAGGUCGAACCGCAUAGAAACAGACGAAGAAGAGGAGGAAGAGGAGAACACACGAGGAAGCGUCCGGUGGAAGCACACGGCGGGGUCUCGAGGUCCCGUCAGGCACAACGGCUUGGUCCCGCUGAGGGCCGCAGAUCAGGAUGACGACGACGACGACGACGACGACGAGGACGAGGAAGAGUUCACUGGAGUCACGGACCUUGUUAACUUUGUUUUCGACAGUGAACAGUUGUCAUGAUCAGCUCAGUAGCUUAAAUACGUUUAUUUUCUCAUCGCCUUCUCACGGGAAUGUCCCUCAUCAGCCACCGUAGUCUCCUGGUUUUUGGGUGUAGUGGACCAAAAAUGAAGCUUCCAGACGAAUGCCGUAGUGUCCGUUCAGAUGUUUGAAUGCACUCUAGUUCAUCCAGCCGCAUGCAUCACCCGACCGGUUUAGAACAGGGGCUUCUUAAUACUACAGUCACCAUUCCUCUGAGUAAAGCACUUUGUCAUUUACGGCCAGUACGAUUUUGUUUGUAUAAAGCGGCUUCGGUAGUCCUCUAGAGACACUGGACGGCGUGCAUUUGAAGCUUACGUGUUACGUGCAUUUCAGACUGGUGUUGUAGAGGUUUACAUUCUCUGUAUUAAUGUUUUCUUCUUUGUUGUACAUGAAGGAAAUUUGGGAUUGACGUGUGAUGCCGAACCUUGCCUAAUAGUAAUAGUUCACCCAAAAAUGAAAAUUUGCUGAAAAUGUAGAUGAGGUUGAUUCUUUAUGGGAACAGAUUUGGAUUUGAACAGACUUGCUCAGCAAUGGAUCCUCUGCAGUGAAUGGGUGCCGUCAGAAUGAGAGUCCAAACAGCUGAUAAAAACAUCACAAUAAUCCACAAGUAAUCCACACCACUCCAGUCAAGCAGUUAACAUCUGGAGAAGACAAAAGCUGUGAGUUUGUAAGAAAUAAAUUAAAGAUUAAGAUGUUUUUAACUUCAUGUUGAGUCCUCUAUCCAGUGGAAAAAGUCUCAUCUGAAUCAGGAGAGAAAUCUGCACAGAUCAAGCACCGUUUGCAAGCCAGAACAGUUCUAAACAAAUAUGUGGCUGGAUUUUGAUGUGAGAGAAAAACAGGAGAUGGACUUUUAUCACUGGAAGAAGCGUUAUUAUGGAAUAUGGACUCAUAUUUUGGCCAGAAGUGACAGUUUAAAGUUAAAAUGCUUUAAUGAUGGAUUUAUUUCUUGCAUACAAACAUCUUUUGGCUUCGCAAGAUGUUAAUUGAUGGACUGGAGUGGUGUGGAUUACUUGAGGAUUAUUGUGAUGUUUUUAUCAGCUGUUUGGACUCUCAUCCUGACGGCACCCAUUCACUGCAGAGCAAGUGAUGCAAUGCUACAUUUCUCCAAAUCUGUUCAUCUACAUUUUCAGCAAAUUUUCAUUUUAGGGUCAGCUAUUCCUUUAAACUAGUUAGUAGACCAGCAAAUACAGGAAGAAACACAUUGGAGGACAAUUGAAAAUGAUCUUAAUAUUAAAGAUCUGCAAUUUAGCUGCAAAUCAUUUUAAUUUAAAAGACUAAUACACUCUCUUAACCUAAAAUAACAUUGUAUGUUAUACUAAAAAGAAUAUGAUUGCCUUAUUUUUCCUAUUAGGACCUUUUCUGCUCUUUGAAAGCUGUUUCUGAAGUUUUAGGACACUUUAAUGAGACGUUCAGGCACAUUUAAGUCCCUGUCUGAGUUUUAAUAUGUCAAAUGAAUGCACUUGUCGUUCAAGCACCUUUGAUGGUGCUGUUUGGUACCGUACUGUUGAAAAGUUCUGUUCGACAACAGUCCGAUCACUCUUUCCAUAGAGGUAUUUUUAGUAUUUACUCCAGGCUGGUGUUGUUUAUGCUGGAAGGUUGUUUGAAUUAGAACACUAUGAAUUCAUUCCAACACAAAUCCACCCCAUUACAAAACAAAUCCAAUAUUCAGAAGAAAAAAAAAGCAUUAGAAUAAUUAUGGUCUUUGCUUUCAGUUAAAGAAUGUGUUUUUGAUCCGUAUACUACUGGAAUUCGUGUUUUCCUAUUUGUAAUCUUACUUUUUAGACAUACGUCUCCAUGUUUCAAGGAAAUUAUUCACAAAACGGAAAUAAACUAAAUAUGUUGCUGUUAAUGUUUUUGGCUCAUAAUUUGUCUUAAGUAGCUGUAAAGGUUUCAAGAUACCAGAAGC
ensembl:lncRNA